AUUAUGUUGGUUUAUGAGUCUUGUCGAUUUCUGGUCGUUAUUGAUUGAGGUAGCUGUUUGAAGCAUUAGUUGGGCUGGGUUGGAUUGAGUUUUAUUUAUUUUUAAUUAAUAAAAGGCAGUAAUAUGGGCAUAUGGGUAAUUAAAAAAAUUGUUGCUGCAUUUGAAUUUGAAGCUUGUGGCUGAUGAUUUUGUUGUUUUGGGAAGCUUAGAUAUUGUGUGUGGGUGUUUGGGUAGUUUAAAUAAUUCUCAGAUUAUGCUUAAUUGUUGUUUUUAAUUUUGUAGUACCAUAUCAAUGGAUUUGGGAGG
rnacentral:misc_RNA from 1 species